rnacentral:rRNA from 1 species
GUGUCAGCCGCCGCGGUAAUACGAGGGGGGCAAGUGUUGUUCGGAAUCACUGGGCGUAAAGGGAGCGUAGGCGGAUGUUUAAGUUGGAUGUUUAAAACCGAGGCCUAACCUCGGAGCGGCAUCCAAAACUGGGCAUCUUGAAUAGGUCAGAGGCUGGUGGAAUUGGAGGUGUAGCGGUGGAAUGCGUAGAGAUCUCCAAGAACACCUAUUGCGAAGGCAGCCAGCUGGGACCAUAUUGACGCUGAGGCUCGAAAGCAUGGGGAGCAAACAGGAUUAGAAACCCUCGUAGUCC